rnacentral:lncRNA from 1 species
CCCCCAUGACUGUAGCGACCUACUACUCCACAAAAUUUAUCCUCCCAUUGCCUCUACAAUUUUGAAUUCAGCCAUUUAUUUUAUUUGUUACUGUUCAUCUUGAUGAGGCAUUUAAGUAGAGAUCUCUUGCUUAAAAUAUCGAUUACUGCCUCUAUGUUGCUUUUGGUGAUCGGAUACUUCAGAAGCUUAUAUUGACUUGGCACACAUAUCCCCAACAUAGAGUAGAACUCAAGCACCCCUACUCAUUUAUCCAUUCAUUAAACCCAUAAAAACUAGGUGAUGAAACCAAGAACCUUCUUCAGUGUUGCUUUGAGAUUCAUAGAACUUACAAACUGGCCGCUUCCUCUCGAUAAUCUUCUAGCACCUUAGAGACUCAUUUGGUUCACGAGAAGAACUUUUCUUCUCAGAAAAUAAUUUUCUUGGGAAUAGGAUUUUGAUAUAUUUGGUUGAUCAUGAGAAGAUGACUUAUUAUAAAGUAGCUUAUGUUUGGA